AAAGGAAUAGACGGGGAGAUACACAACCAGUGGAACAUGUGGUUUAAUUCGAGACAAACCGAAGCACCUCACCAGGGCUUGACAUGCAACUGCAAGCUUAGGGAAACCUAGGCCGCCUUAGAGGGUGUUGCACAGCUGUUGCAUGGCUGUCGUCAGUUCGUUCCGUGAGGAGUGCCCUUAAGUGGGACAACGAACGUAACCUUCGCCCUAUGUUAAAUCUGUCAUAGGGGACUGCCUUCGCUAUGCGGGGGAGGAAGGAGAAGCAGACGUCAAGUCAGCAUGACGCUUAUGCUCUGGGCGACACACAUGUUACAAUGAGGCCGACAAAGGGUUGCGAAGCGGUGACGUGGAGCUAAUCCCAUAAACGGUCUCUCAGUGGGGAUUGAAGUCUGCAACUCGACUUCAUGAACGCGGAAUUGGUAGUAAUCGCAGAUCAGCCAAGCUGCGGUGAAUACGUUCUUAUCUCUUGCACACACCGCCCGU
rnacentral:rRNA from 1 species